rnacentral:tRNA from 2 species
GUCAGUGUGGCCGAGUGGUUAAGGCGUGUGACUUGAAAUCACAUCUCUUCGGAGGCACAGGUUCGAACCCUGUCGCUGACG